rnacentral:rRNA from 1 species
UACGUAGGGGGCAAGCGUUGUCCGGAAUUAUUGGGCGUAAAGAGCUCGUAGGCGGUUUGUUGCGUCUAUCGUGAAAACCUGCAGCUUAACUGUGGGCUUGCGGUGGAUACGGGCGGACUUGAGUUCGGUAGGGGAGACUGGAAUUCCUGGUGUAGCGGUGAAAUGCGCAGAUAUCAGGAGGAACACCGGUGGCGAAGGCGGGUCUCUGGGCCGAUACUGACGCUGAGGAGCGAAAGCGUGGGGAGCGAACAGG